GAUGAACGCUGACAGAAUGCUUAACACAUGCAAGUCUUUGGCGAAGCUGUGCUUGCACAGCCUAGCCAAGGCGGACGGGUGAGUAACGCGUAAGGAACUUGCCCUGCAGUCAGGGAUAACAGACGGAAACGACUGAUAAGACCUGGUAAAGUCAGGCGGACUCAUGUCCAGCCUGAUGAAAAGAGAUGCUGCAGGAGAGCCUUGCGUCCUAUUAGCUUGUUGGUGGGGUAACGGCCCACCAAGGCGAUGAUAGGUAGCCGGCCUGAGAGGGUGGACGGCCACAAGGGGACUGAGAGACGGCACUUACUCCUACGGGAGGAAGCAGUGGGGAAUAUUGGAGAAUGGGGGCAACCCUGAUCCAGGAAUUCUGUGUGCACGAUGAAGGUUUUCGGAUUGUAAAGUGCUUUCAGCAGGGAAGAAAAAAAUGACGGUACCUGCAGAAGAAGCGACGGCUAAAUACGUG
rnacentral:rRNA from 1 species